rnacentral:lncRNA from 1 species
UAUUGGAGGAGGAGGUGCUUGCAAAAUUUACUUCUUAAUUUCAUUGCAAAUGUUGUUAGCAUUUUUAACAUUAAUUCUUUGGUUAAUUUUGAUGUUAUUACCACUUUGUUUUCGCUUAAGUGCCAUACUUAGAUUCUCACACUCAAAAGUGCAAUAAAAAACCUUUUCAUCUUACCUAUACUAAUACACAUAUUACAUGAGUUUUUUUGUUUGCUGCACCGGAGAGAGUCGGGAUGCUGCGCUGUUUUGCGUUUUUCUCUUUUGUCUCAUGUCUGUACUGUUUUUUGGAUCUGUGAUUGUACCGUAGGGUUAUGUUUCCUCUGUUCUGUCAGCUGUGUUUGUUGCUGUGCGGUUUGUGUUUGUUUGCCUUGGUUUUUGGCUUUGUUUUAGUUUUAGGGGUCUGUUAUGGAUCUCUUGUUCCCUUGUUUUAAUGCCUCCUUUAUCUUUGUUUGUACUACUUGUACUCACUUUGAUUAAUAAAUUUUGCCUUUUCCAAAAAAAAAAGAGUUUUUUUGUUGUGAAAAUUUUGUGGUUGCCAUCGCAACAUUGAAUCAUACUUGCCUCCGCCUAUGACAUAACAUUGCACAUAAAUUGAUUCAUUGUAAUGGAUUAAUGAGUAAUUGCUGUGUAUUUUUGUGUUUGCUUUAAUAUUUGCAAACUUAUGAAGCUUAAGUUUAUGAAACUUGUGGCUAAUAUCCAUGAAAAAAAAAACAGGAUAUGGGUUCUAAUGUUACCGACUAUCUGGUUGAUUGUAAGUGGUCAACGAAGCUAGAUACAAAACUUGUGAGGGUGAUGAUAACAGCAAGGAAACAUAAAGGCAACUUCAAAGGUUAAGCAUGGUCAGAUAAAAGGUUGUGGCAACUUGCUGUCAAGAAAAUAAAUUUCUUCAUCAACAACGACCAAAAUUGCAGACACUUGGAACGUAAAGGCAUCGAAUGUCUAAAGUCGAUCUAGACUUCAAAAACUUAGAAAGGCUUAUAAUAUGUACCAGUAGAAAGGCUUAAAAAAUUAAUUGGACAUUGCGGAUUAAGCUCGCAAAACUGUUUACUUGUGAAGACGACAAUGGCCCGUUGGUUAUCCCUAAAACUUUCAACAAUUCUCUGCUAGGGUCAUCUCAUUCCUCUUAUGUUGUCGACACUUUUCUACAAAAUCUGCGAUCCAUCAAGAAUAACAUAUCAACUAAACAAUAUAACUUUUGCCAUUCAAGACUUCAAGACAAGCCAGCUUAUGAUGAAUCUAUUCAACCAAAUGACUCCUCAAGAAAGAAUAUCCUACGUGGAAGUGGAAUGUAUCUUUUAGCCUUGGUGAUGUUAUUAUUUAGUUAUAGUUUUGAUCUGCAUCUUUACUUAUAGCUUAAAAGUAUUAGAUUAAGGGUUAAUCUAAUCUAAUCUUUUUAGUUUUGUGUAACAUUGAGGGUUAUUUUAUUUUGUUGGCCUGCUCUUGGUGUGUGUAUCUAUGUGCUUUAUUGUUGUUAUAUAUUGUGGAGCUUUAAGCUAGUGUGUUUUAGUCACAUAGGUGCUGUUCCACAGGUUUUGUAAUGAAUUAAUUAAGCACUUUAUUGUAUCUUAGUCCAACUUUCAAGCAAGUGUAGUGUGAGAUCUCUGCAAC